GGCUCAAUGUCUAGUGGAAUGAUUCCUGUUUUGGGUUUGACUCAUAUGCAGGAGGUCCCGGGUUCAAAUCCCGGUUGAGCCC
rnacentral:tRNA from 1 species